rnacentral:lncRNA from 1 species
CGACGGGAAGGACAGGUGGUGCGGUGGAGGCCAUUGUUUGUUGUAACGGUUAAGAGAGAGAAAGUGGUUUUGGUUGAGAGAUUUUUAGAGAGAUAAAGUUUGUGACGUGAAUUUGUUAAUUGAAUGAGAUGAAAGGGGUUUUUGGUUUUUGAUGAGAGAGAGAGAGAAAAGGUGAAUUUAUUGCGUAAUCUAAUCUUAAUGGUUAAGGUGUUGAAUCCACCGACGAAAAAAAUGCAGUAAAUUUGCG